GACGAACGCUGGCGGCGUGCUUAACACAUGCAAGUCGAACGGAAAGGCCCUGCUUUUGUGGGGUGCUCGAGUGGCGAACGGGUGAGUAACACGUGAGUAACCUGCCCAUGACUUUGGGAUAACUUCAGGAAACUGGGGCUAAUACCGGAUAGGAGCUCCUGCUGCAUGGUGGGGGUUGGAAAGUUUCGGCGGUUGGGGAUGGACUCGCGGCUUAUCAGCUUGUUGGUGGGGUAGUGGCUUACCAAGGCUUUGACGGGUAGCCGGCCUGAGAGGGUGACCGGCCACAUUGGGACUGAGAUACGGCCCAGACUCCUACGGGAGGCAGCAGUGGGGAAUAUUGCACAAUGGGCGGAAGCCUAAUGCAGCAACGCCGCGUGCGGGAUGACGGCCUUCGGGUUGUAAACCGCUUUCGCCUGUGACGAAGCGUGAGUGACGGUAAUGGGUAAAGAAGCACCGGCUAACUACGUG
rnacentral:rRNA from 1 species